GAUGAACGCUGGCGGCGUGCCUAAUACAUGCAAGUCGAGCGAACGGACGAGAAGCUUGCUUCUCUGAUGUUAGCGGCGGACGGGUGAGUAACACGUGGAUAACCUACCUAUAAGACUGGGAUAACUUCGGGAAACCGGAGCUAAUACCGGAUAAUAUUUUGAACCGCAUGGUUCAAAAGUGAAAGACGGUCUUGCUGUCACUUAUAGAUGGAUCCGCGCUGCAUUAGCUAGUUGGUAAGGUAACGGCUUACCAAGGCAACGAUGCAUAGCCGACCUGAGAGGGUGAUCGGCCACACUGGAACUGAGACACGGUCCAGACUCCUACGGGAGGCAGCAGUAGGGAAUCUUCCGCAAUGGGCGAAAGCCUGACGGAGCAACGCCGCGUGAGUGAUGAAGGUCUUCGGAUCGUAAAACUCUGUUAUUAGGGAAGAACAUAUGUGUAAGUAACUGUGCACAUCUUGACGGUACCUAAUCAGAAAGCCACGGCUAACUACGUGCCAGCAGCCGCGGUAAUACGUAGGUGGCAAGCGUUAUCCGGAAUUAUUGGGCGUAAAGCGCGCGUAGGCGGUUUUUUAAGUCUGAUGUGAAAGCCCACGGCUCAACCGUGGAGGGUCAUUGGAAACUGGAAAACUUGAGUGCAGAAGAGGAAAGUGGAAUUCCAUGUGUAGCGGUGAAAUGCGCAGAGAUAUGGAGGAACACCAGUGGCGAAGGCGACUUUCUGGUCUGUAACUGACGCUGAUGUGCGAAAGCGUGGGGAUCAAACAGGAUUAGAUACCCUGGUAGUCCACGCCGUAAACGAUGAGUGCUAAGUGUUAGGGGGUUUCCGCCCCUUAGUGCUGCAGCUAACGCAUUAAGCACUCCGCCUGGGGAGUACGACCGCAAGGUUGAAACUCAAAGGAAUUGACGGAGACCCGCACAAGCGGUGGAGCAUGUGGUUUAAUUCGAAGCAACGCGUAGAACCUUACCAAAUCUUGACAUCCUUUGACAACUCUAGAGAUAGAGCUUUCCCCUUCGGGGGACAAAGUGACAGGUGGUGCAUGGUUGUCGUCAGCUCGUGUCGUGAGAUGUUGGGUUAAGUCCCGCAACGAGCGCAACCCUUAAGCUUAGUUGCCAUCAUUAAGUUGGGCACUCUAAGUUGACUGCCGGUGACAAACCGGAGGAAGGUGGGGAUGACGUCAAAUCAUCAUGCCCCUUAUGAUUUGGGCUACACACGUGCUACAAUGGACAAUACAAAGGGCAGCGAAACCGCGAGGUCAAGCAAAUCCCAUAAAGUUGUUCUCAGUUCGGAUUGUAGUCUGCAACUCGACUACAUGAAGCUGGAAUCGCUAGUAAUCGUAGAUCAGCAUGCUACGGUGAAUACGUUCCCGGGUCU
rnacentral:rRNA from 1 species